rnacentral:rRNA from 1 species
CCUACGGGGGGCAGCAGUGGGGAAUAUUGCACAAUGGGGGAAACCCUGAUGCAGCGACGCCGCGUGAAGGAAGAAGUAUUUCGGUAUGUAAACUUCUAUCAGCAGGGAAGAAAAUGACGGUACCUGACUAAGAAGCCCCGGCUAACUACGUGCCAGCAGCCGCGGUAAUACGUAGGGGGCAAGCGUUAUCCGGAUUUACUGGGUGGAAAGGGAGCGUAGGCGGGUUAGCAAGUCAGAAGUGAAAGCCCGGGGCUCAACUCCGGGACUGCUUUUGAAACGGUUGAACUAGAUUGCAGGAGAGGUAAGUGGACUUCCUAGUGUAGCGGUGCAAUGCGUAGAUCUUAGGCGGAACACCAGUGGC